CAUGACCUACGGGGCGCAGCAGUGAGGAAUAUUGGUCAAUGGUCGGGAGACUGGACCAGCCAAGCCGCGUGAGGGAGGAAGGUACAGAGUAUCGUAAACCUCCUUUGUCAGGGAACAAAGGCGGGGACGUGUCCCCGGAUGAGGGUACCUGAAGAAAAAGCAUCGGCUAACUCCGUGCCAGCAGCCGCGGUAAUACGGAGGAUGCGAGCGUUAUCCGGAUUUAUUGGGUUUAAAGGGUGCGCAGGCGGUCUGUUAAGUCAGCG
rnacentral:rRNA from 1 species